rnacentral:rRNA from 1 species
UAGAGUUUGAUCCUGGCUCAGGACGAACGCUGGCGGCAUGCCUAAUACAUGCAAGUCGAACGAACUUUCCUUUUGAUUGAUGCUUGCAUCAUGAUUUAGAUCUAAGUGAGUGGCGGACGGGUGAGUAACACGUGGGUAACCUGCCCAGAAGUGGGGGAUAACAUUUGGAAACAAGUGCUAAUACCGCAUAACAACAUUAAACACAUGUUUUUUGUUUAAAAGAUGGUUUUGCUAUCUCUUCUGGAUGGACCCGCGGCGUAUUAGCUAGUUGGUGAGGUAAUAGCUCACCAAGGCGAUGAUACGUAGCCGACCUGAGAGGGUAAUCGGCCACAUUGGGACUGAGACACGGCCCAAACUCCUACGGGAGGCAGCAGUAGGGAAUCUUCCACAAUGGACGAAAGUCUGAUGGAGCAAUGCCGCGUGAGUGAAGAAGGUUUUCGGAUCGUAAAACUCUGUUGUUGAAGAAGAACAUAUGUGAGAGUAAUUGUUCACGUACUGACGGUAUUCAACCAGAAAGCCACGGCUAACUACGUGCCAGCAGCCGCGGUAAUACGUAGGUGGCAAGCGUUGUCCGGAUUUAUUGGGCGUAAAGAGAAUGUAGGCGGUUCAUUAAGUUUGAAGUGAAAGCCCUCGGCUCAACCGAGGAAGUGCUUCGAAAACUGGUGAACUUGAGUGCAGAAGAGGAAAGUGGAACUCCAUGUGUAGCGGUGGAAUGCGUAGAUAUAUGGAAGAACACCAGUGGCGAAGGCGGCUUUCUGGUCUGUAACUGGCGCUGAGAUUCGAAAGCAUGGGUAGCAAACAGGAUUAGAUACCCUGGUAGUCCAUGCCGUAAACGAUGUCGACCAGCCGUUGGGAUCCUAGAGAUCCUUGUGGCGAAGUUAACGCGAUAAGUCGACCGCCUGGGGAGUACGGCCGCAAGGUUAAAACUCAAAUGAAUUGACGGGGGCCCGCACAAGCGGUGGAGCAUGUGGUUUAAUUCGAUGCAACGCGAAGAACCUUACCUACCCUUGACAUCCUGCGAACUUGGUAGAGAUACCCUGGUGCCUUCGGGAGCGCAGAGACAGGUGCUGCAUGGCUGUCGUCAGCUCGUGUUGUGAAAUGUUGGGUUAAGUCCCGUAACGAGCGCAACCCUUGUCCCUAUUUGCCAGCACGUAAUGGUGGGAACUCUAGGGAGACUGCCGGUGACAAACCGGAGGAAGGUGGGGACGACGUCAAGUCAUCAUGGCCCUUACGGGUAGGGCUACACACGUGCUACAAUGGCCGGCACAAAGGGCUGCGAACUCGCGAGAGUCAGCGAAUCCCAUAAAGCCGGUCUCAGUCCGGAUCGGAGUCUGCAACUCGACUCCGUGAAGUCGGAAUCGCUAGUAAUCGUGCAUCAGAAUGGCACGGUGAAUACGUUCCCGGGCCUUGUACACACCGCCCGUCACACCAUGGAAGUGGACUGCACCAGAAGUGGUUAGCCUAACUUCGGAAGGCGAUCACCACGGUGUGGUUCAUGACUGGGGUGAAGUCGUAACAAGGUAACC